rnacentral:rRNA from 1 species
CUUAGCACAUGCAAGUCGAGGGGUAUAGUAGCAAUACUAGAGACCGGCGCACGGGUGCGUAACGCGUAUGCAAUCUACCUUUUACAGGGGAAUAGCCCAGAGAAAUUUGGAUUAAUGCCCCAUGGUAUUAUAGAAUGGCAUCAUUUUAUAAUUAAAGUUCCAACGGUAAAAGAUGAGCAUGCGUCCCAUUAGCUUGUUGGUAAGGUAACGGCUUACCAAGGCUACGAUGGGUAGGGGUCCUGAGAGGGAGAUCCCCCACACUGGUACUGAGACACGGACCAGACUCCUACGGGAGGCAGCAGUGAGGAAUAUUGGACAAUGGGCGCAAGCCUGAUCCAGCCAUGCCGCGUGCAGGAUGACGGUCCUAUGGAUUGUAAACUGCUUUUGCACAGGAAGAAACACUUGCUCGUGAGCAAGCUUGACGGUACUGUGAGAAUAAGGAUCGGCUAACUCCGUGCCAGCAGCCGCGGUAAUACGGAGGAUCCAAGCGUUAUCCGGAAUCAUUGGGUUUAAAGGGUCCGUAGGCGGGCUCGUAAGUCAGUGGUGAAAGCCCAUCGCUCAACGAUGGAACGGCCAUUGAUACUGUCUGACUUGAAUUAUUAGGAAGUAACUAGAAUAUGUAGUGUAGCGGUGAAAUGCUUAGAGAUUACAUGGAAUACCAAUUGCGGAGGCAGGUUACUACUAAUUAAUUGACGCUGAGGGACGAAAGCGUGGGUAGCGAACAGGAUUAGAUACCCUGGUAGUCCACGCCGUAAACGAUGGAUACUAGCUGUUGGGAGCAAUCUCAGUGGCUAAGCGAAAGUGAUAAGUAUCCCACCUGGGGAGUACGAACGCAAGUUUGAAACUCAAAGGAAUUGACGG